rnacentral:sRNA from 1 species
UAAUGUGGCCUUUGAGACUAAAAUCCUCUGGUUAGUCACAGAAUAGGUACAUCUGAGCAGCAGCAGUGUGAGAUUCCCCACAAUGCAAUGUGCCUCAGUUCUGACCUGGAGCGGUAGCCCACACUGGAUGAGACAAUAGUUUAUUUCCCAUGUUGAUUUGAGGCUGCC